UGGGGAAUCUUCCGCAAUGGACGAAAGUCUGACGGAGCAACGCCGCGUGAGUGAAGAAGGUUUUCGGAUCGUAAAACUCUGUCUUUUGGGGCGAACGUGAGUAUGGUGAACAAUCAUAGUCAGUGACGGUACCAAAGGAGGAAGCCACGGCUAACUACGUGCCAGCAGCCGCGGUAAUACGUAGGUGGCAAGCGUUGUCCGGAAUUAUUGGGCGUAAAGAGCGCGUAGGCGGGAUAGUCAGUCUGUUGUAAAGUGCGGGGCUCAACCCCGUGAUGGCAAUGGAAACAGCUAUUCUUGAGUGCAGGAGAGGAAAGUGGAAUUCCCAGUGUAGCGGUGAAAUGCGUAGAUAUUGGGAGGAACACCAGUGGCGAAGGCGACUUUCUGGACUGUGUCUGACGCUGAGGCGCGAAAGCCAGGGGAGCGAACGGGAUUAGAUACCCCGGUAGUCCUGGCCGUAAACGAUGGGUACUAGGUGUGGGAGGUAUCGACCCCUUCCGUGCCGGAGUUAACGCAAUAAGUACCCCGCCUGGGGAGUACGGUCGCAAGACUGAAACUCAAAGGAAUUGACGGGGUCAUAGCUG
rnacentral:rRNA from 1 species